GUGUGUGUGUGUCUGUGAGUGACAGUGUGUGUGUCCAUGAAUGACUGUGUGCGUCUCUGUGUGUGUCUGUGAGUGACAGCGUGUGUGUCUGUGAGUGACAGUGCUUGUGAGUGACAGCGUAUGUCUGUGAGUGACAGCGUGUGUGUCUGUGAGUGACAGCGUGUGUGUCUGUGAGUGACAGUGUGUGUGUGUGAUUGUAUGAGUGUGUGUGCAUGUGUGUGUCUGAGUGACUGAGCGUGUGUCUGUGAGUGACAGUGUGUGUGUGUGUGAGUGAUUGUAUGAGUGUGUGUGUCUAAGUGACUGAGCGUGUGUCUGUGAGUGACUGUGUGUGUCUGUGAGUGACAACAU